UACGUAGGUGGCAAGCGUUGUCCGGAAUCACUGGGCGUAAAGCGCGCGCAGGCGGCGAUCUACGUCUGGGGUGAAAGCCCGGAGCUCAACUCCGGGACUGCCUUGGAUACGGGAUCGCUUGAGGAUUGGAGAGGCAAGGGGAAUUCCACGUGUAGCGGUGAAAUGCGUAGAUAUCAGGAGGAACACCAGAGGCGAAGGCGGCCUACUGGGCUGCACCUGACGCUGAGCCGCGAAAGCCAGGGGAGCGAACGGG
rnacentral:rRNA from 1 species